rnacentral:lncRNA from 1 species
CAUGCACCAUAGCCGCUCCGCCACCGCCGCAACAGGCUAAUCAUCUCCUCGUCGCAAUCGGAGGAGGCGGAAUCAGCAGAGGCGGCAGAACCAGCGGCUGAGUCAGAGAGGGUGGUGGAGGCGGCGAGGGCAGGGGACAGGCGGCGGCGGGGGGAAGCGAUUUGAGGUGGCGGCGACGAACGACACACAGAAUGGCUGCUAGGUUCGGGGAGUGAUAAAUAAGAGGGUGGUGGAGGCGGCGAGGGCAGGGGACAGGCGGCGGCGGGGGGAAGCGAUUUGAGGUGGCGGCGACGAACGACACACAGAAUGGCUGCUAGGUUCGGGGAGUGAUAAACAAGUAAACACCCCGCGCGUUGCUGCGGGCAAAAAGGAGAUCUAAAUUUAAUUUACAUUCAAGUAUUUCAAUUUGCCAUAUGGUAAGGUCUAUUUGAAUUAUGUAAAUUGAGAAAGAAAAACUGACACCAAAUAUUAAGC